rnacentral:piRNA from 1 species
AAACUCAUAAACCUGGUCGCGCUGACGCG